rnacentral:rRNA from 1 species
GGUGCUUGCACCGGUGAUUAGUGGCGAACGGGUGAGUAACACGUGAGUAACCUGCCCUUAACUCUGGGAUAAGCCUGGGAAACUGGGUCUAAUACCGGAUAUGACUCCUCAUCGCAUGGUGGGGGGUGGAAAGCUUUAUUGUGGUUUUGGAUGGACUCGCGGCCUAUCAGCUUGUUGGUGAGGUAAUGGCUCACCAAGGCGACGACGGGUAGCCGGCCUGAGAGGGUGACCGGCCACACUGGGACUGAGACACGGCCCAGACUCCUACGGGAGGCAGCAGUGGGGAAUAUUGCACAAUGGGCGCAAGCCUGAUGCAGCGACGCCGCGUGAGGGAUGACGGCCUUCGGGUUGUAAACCUCUUUCAGUAGGGAAGAAGCGAAAGUGACGGUACCUGCAGAAGAAGCGCCGGCUAACUACGUGCCAGCAGCCGCGGUAAUACGUAGGGCGCAAGCGUUAUCCGGAAUUAUUGGGCGUAAAGAGCUCGUAGGCGGUUUGUCGCGUCUGCCGUGAAAGUCCGGGGCUCAACUCCGGAUCUGCGGUGGGUACGGGCAGACUAGAGUGAUGUAGGGGAGACUGGAAUUCCUGGUGUAGCGGUGAAAUGCGCAGAUAUCAGGAGGAACACCGAUGGCGAAGGCAGGUCUCUGGGCAUUAACUGACGCUGAGGAGCGAAAGCAUGGGGAGCGAACAGGAUUAGAUACCC